AUGAUUUAUGAAAAUAACUUCUAAAGUUUAAUUAUGAUUUAGUUAAAUAAUUUUAACUAAACUGAUUUUAAACAAUUUAUUUUGUUAGUUUAUAGAUUCUUGAUCUCAGAAUUAGCAUUAUGAGACACUCAAGUAAAACCUCCAUUUCUAAAAAAAUGUUUACCUCCAUAUAAAAGAGCAAUAUAAAAUUUUAGAGUAACAAAUGAAGAUGUACUGACCCAAGUUGGAGAAACAAGAUCCAUAAUUAAAGUCAUGACGACGAAUUGCAUCAUACUUUAAUAGAAGGUGCAAUUGAAGGAUGAAAACCACCAGGAAAACCAAGAAACUUGUAUAUAUUUCAACUGAAAAAUGAUGCAGGGAUUGAUACUUACGCCGGAUUAAAAAGACUUGCUGAAGAUCGUGAUAAAUGGAGAGCUAAGUUAAAAUCGUUGUAAACCAACCUAAUAUAGGCCUCUAAAUCCCAAGAAAAUUGUUUUAAAUAUUUAAAAUUUAGUUGAAACAUAAAUUAUACACUAUACAAUUACACGUUUGAAAAUCAUUGUAAAAUAAAAACUUCUUAAUAGUUUUAAGUGAGCUCAAAAACGCCAAUUUUCAUCAUUUUUAGAAAGUAAUAAAACUUAGAAUUUCAUAUAAUUUUUUU